CGACGGGAGCUUGCUCCCUUAGGUCAGCGGCGGACGGGUGAGUAACACGUGGGUAACCUGCCUGUAAGACUGGGAUAACUCCGGGAAACCGGGGCUAAUACCGGAUGCUUGAUUGAACCGCAUGGUUCAAUCAUAAAAGGUGGCUUUCAGCUACCACUUACAGAUGGACCCGCGGCGCAUUAGCUAGUUGGUGAGGUAACGGCUCACCAAGGCGACGAUGCGUAGCCGACCUGAGAGGGUGGUCGGCCACACUGGGACUGAGACACGGCCCAGACUCCUACGGGAGGCAGCAGUAGGGAAUCUUCCGCAAUGGACGAAAGUCUGACGGAGCAACGCCGCGUGSAGUGAUGAAGGUUUUCGGAUCGUAAAACUCUGUUGUUAGGGAAGAACAAGUACCGUUCGAAUAGGGCGGCACCUUGACGGUACCUAACCAGAAAGCCACGGCUAACUACGUGCCAGCAGCCGCGGUAAUACGUAGGUGGCAAGCGUUGUCCGGAAUUAUUGGGCGUAAAGCGCGCGCAGGCGGUUUCUUAAGUCUGAUGUGAAAGCCCCCGGCUCAACCGGGGAGGGUCAUUGGAAACUGGGGAACUUGAGUGCAGAAGAGGAGAGUGGAAUUCCACGUGUAGCGGUGAAAUGCGUAGAGAUGUGGAGGAACACCAGUGGCGAAGGCGACUCUCU
rnacentral:rRNA from 1 species